AUGAACGCUGGCGGCGUGCCUAAUACAUGCAAGUCGAGCGCCCCUUUAAGAGGUGACAAUUAUUGAUUGUCGGUUCCUAUGGGGAGCGGCGGACGGCUGAGUAACGCGUGGGAAUCUGCCCCAAAGUGAGGGAUAAGCAUCGGAAACGAUGUCUAAUACCGCAUAUGAUCUUCGGAUUAAAGCCUUCGGGCGCUUUGGGAGGAGCCUGCGUACGAUUAGAUAGUUGGUGAGGUAAAGGCUCACCAAGUCUACGAUCGUUAGCUGGUCUGAGAGGAUGACCAGCCAGACUGGAACUGAGACACGGUCCAGACUCCUACGGGAGGCAGCAGUAAGGAAUCUUCCACAAUGGGCGAAAGCCUGAUGGAGCAACGCCGCGUGCAGGAUGAAGGCCUUCGGGUCGUAAACUGCUUUUAUUAGUGAAGAAUAUGACGGUAACUAAUGAAUAAGGAUCGGCUAACUACGU
rnacentral:rRNA from 1 species